rnacentral:rRNA from 1 species
UACGGAGGGUGCAAGCGUUAUCCGGAUUCACUGGGUUUAAAGGGAGCGCAGGCGGAUUUGUAAGUCAGUGGUGAAAGGCUUAAGCUUAACUUGGGAACUGCCAUUGAUACUAUAAGUCUUGAAUGUUGUUGAGGUUUGCGGAAUGGGUCAUGUAGCGGUGAAAUGCAUAGAUAUGACCCGGAACACCUAUUGCGAAGGCAGCAGGCUAAACAAAGAUUGACGCUGAGGCUCGAAAGCGUGGGGAGCGAACAGG